rnacentral:rRNA from 1 species
GAUUAACGCUAGCGGCAGGCAUAAUACAUGCAAGUUGAACGAGAUUAGUUUUAGCAAUAGAACUAGUUUAGUGGCGCACGGGUGCGUAACGCGUAUGCAACCUACCUUAAACAGGGGAAUAGCCUCUCGAAAGAGAGAUUAAUACCGCAUAACAUAUAUUUAGAGCAUUCUAGAUAUAUCGAAAACCUACGGGGGUUUAAGAUGGGCAUGCGUGACAUUAGCUAGUUGGUGAGGUAACGGCUCACCAAGGCAACGAUGUCUAGGGGGUCUGAGAGGAUGUCCCCCCANACUGGUACUGAGACACGGACCAGACUCCUACGGGAGCAGCAGUAGGGAAUAUUGGGUCAAUGGAGGCAACUCUGAACCAGCCAUGCCGCGUGCAGGACUAAGGCCCUAUGGGUCGUAAAACUGCUUUUGAAUGGAAGAAAUGUAUCUAACGUGUAGAUAUUUGACGGUACCAUUAGAAUAAGGAUCGG